rnacentral:lncRNA from 1 species
AUGGGAGCCUAUAUCUGUUCUUCCUGGUGGAACCCGCAUUCCAAGUUCGGAGGAGGAUGGGGAAACUCUGGAGCAAAAAUGAGAUGGUCUUGGGGGGUAGGGGAAGCAUUGAGUCCAUCAAAGAUUUCCUCUCUCACCCAAAGCAAUGCUGUACUCAGAGUCACAGACCACCAGAGACCAUCUACUCCAUCCUCCACACCCUUCUAUGUGAUCCCUAAAGAAAAUCCAGUCUGUAAUUCCCUUGGUCCCCUGCCCAGGCAUUACCCUUCCCAGGAUCCCCAGAUCUUGGGGUUCACAUCAAAUCCUUGGACCCCAAUGACCCCUCCCAACUCCCACCAUAAUCCAACAACAAAAACAACAACAAAACAAACCAAAGGACACCCUUGGUCCCAACCCCACACUCCCCCUUUCCCAGCUCCUGAUUCCCAGGCUCUCGGACUCCUAUUCAAUGCUUUGGACAGGAGUUGGCAAGAGGCAGGAGGGACAGUCCCCCCCAACCCCAGACUUUUCUGUUACAGUUUCCGUAGAUCUCAUGUUGAUCGCUCAAGGGCAAAAUACAGGUGAAAGAGGGGUGGGGAGAGAGGGAGGAGAGGAGAUGCUGCGUAGAGUGAGAUCAAGUACCAGAGAUUUCUCUCUGGGAACAUGAUAUAAUGGAGAGAGAAAAAGAAUUUGCUUUACUGGUGUCCUCUUCAGUUGUUGUUUUUUGUGUGCGUGUUUUGUUUUGUUUGCUUUGUUUUCUCCAAGAUUUCUUUUUCCAUUUUAUAUUUUAUCAAUAUUAUGGGACUAGUUAAUCUGUUUCUUGCUUCUUGCUUCCUGCACCUAUCCCACAAUGCCCUCGCACACACACACACACACACACACACACACACCCAUGCAUCAUAGAUUGGAAGCCACCACAGGCCCAGGACUGAGCUCUCUUAUCCUUGGCCGACCCAUCAACAAAUACAUACACAGACUGCCCAGUUCCAAGGGCACAAUAUUGGGACUGGGAUGGGGGAGGGGAUCUAACGCUGCCCUUCCUCCUUCCCCUUCCCUCCUACCUGUCCCCUCGCCUCCUGCCUCAGUUUCCCUCUCUUCCCUCCCCUUCUUCUGCGCCUCACACCCUAUUUGAUUAUAACAUUGUAUGAUGCAGCCCUUACGGUCUAGCCGAUGCGCCUACCUAAAUACCAUUUAUUGAAAGUGACGAUGGUUUGUUCCCUAUGCAAAAAAAAGAAAAAAUAUUCCAAAAAAAAGAAAAAAAUGUAUAAAACAUUAAACAAGCUAUGCUCCAACUCUAUAUGUGUCCCUCAGACUCUCCUUUCUGCGGCUGGGGUUGAGGGAACUGAAAAUGGGAAGGGGUUAAGGGAGGGACCAAGGGGGGUGGGCUAUUUGAGUAAGUGACUUUUGUCCUGGAGAGAGAAAGUGUGUGUAUGUGUGUAAGGGAGAGAAGGACAGACAGACAGACAGAGAAAGAAGAGGAGGAAGAUAAGAAUUGCAGUACAACCCAUCGAAUUCUCCUUGUACCCGAACAAGAAUGCUAUCUCCAGUAAUAUCCCCAGCUACUACUCCAGACUCACCUCGAAGGCAUAGGGAACCUGCCACCAACCGAGGACGUCCGUUCGGAGUAGCUCUAAUUGCAGAUGUCUGUUCUUUCAUUCCUCUUUACGGCUGUCACCUGUUGAGACUCAUUCUAUCUUUAGGGCCAGGUCUCUCCUCCUCACAACAGCUCUUCAAACACCUGAGAACAGCUUCUCCAGGAAAAGGAUCCAGGAUUAGUUUUGGAGGCUGGAAGUGGAUUUGGGGCUUGAGAAAGGGUCUUUUUGUUGAAUUCUAUUAAAUUGAGGCAAUAUUUUCUCUACACUGGGUCCCAGAGAUAUGGCCUGACUCAGAAAUCCUUCACAGAAGACAUGGCUGGUCAUGGUCAAGAGUUUGUAUAUGUUUAUCUGUGCCUUAAUGAUAUUUAAUGUACUGUUAAUGAUCAUGGUAAAAGCUAGCAUUUAUAGCUAUUUAUAUUUAUUAUUUAUAUUAUAUUAUUGUAGUUAUAUGUAUUUAUUAUUUAUAUUUAAAUAGCACUUUAAGAUAUAUAUAUAUAUAUAUAUAUAUAUA